rnacentral:rRNA from 1 species
UACAGAGGGUGCAAGCGUUAAUCGGAAUUACUGGGCGUAAAGCGCGCGUAGGCGGCUGUCUAAGUCGGAUGUGAAAUCCCCGGGCUCAACCUGGGAACUGCAUUUGUGACUGCAUAGCUAGAGUACGGUAGAGGGGGAUGGAAUUCCGCGUGUAGCAGUGAAAUGCGUAGAUAUGCGGAGGAACACCGAUGGCGAAGGCGACUCACUGGUCCGGUACUGACGCUGAGACGCGAAAGCGUGGGGAGCGAACAGG